UUCAAUAUUUAAGGUUAAUCAGUACAAAUCAUUUCAAACCACAAGAUGACGAUAGUUGAUUUGAUUGAAUUUACUUUUUGUUCAUUGAUAAUUCGACUUUUCUGGUUUCCAGGAUUUCCAAAUCAGGUUGAUUAACUCCAGUUAUCCACUUGAAUUGACUUUAAAGGCGACAACAGAGUUGACCAAGCCAGUGAUUGAAGAAUGGAAUCCAGCCUCGGAGUUGAACUUUAAUAUUUGGAUAAUGGGAUUUUCGGUGAUUUCGGUGAUGAUUAGAUAAACAGAGCAACUUGCAGACGGACGAAAAUCCCACCGAUUCAAGGUAAAUAAUCAAGAGUAUCGGUGGAAUAUUUAUCCGUUUGCACUUUACCCGAAUCCCAAGGAAGACCAGCAAGCAAUUUUGUACGAACCAAGUAGAUGGUCAUUUUUAACGGUGAUGUUACAAUGUAAAGUUGAACCGAUGAGCUAUAAAUCGAGGAUUCCGCAAAUGAAACCUGGAACAAGGAAAGUUACCAAAAAGGGAAAAGGAACCAGAAAAGAAACUUAAACUUACCCAAAAAGAAAGAAAAAGUACAAACAGUUUGUACUUUGGAUUGGCUGGAUUGUACCUUGAUGACCAACUGUUGACGGUGAUGGAGAUGAAGAUGAAAAUGAUGGCAAGAAAAGAAGAAAAAAGACAAGAUUAAGUCAAAUGAAGUAUCUGAAUCUGAAGUAAAAUGUCUGAUUGUGAUGAGUGAAGUGAGUUGACUGUUGUAAGAGUGAAAAAUCGGGUAAACUAUAUUAAGCUUUUGUAUGUUGACCGAUCAUCGAAGCGGGGUUUACCUGUAAACAGAAACCCCCUCGAAUCUUAUCAUCCAACCUCCCCUCAAUUCACCCCCAUACACCCAAAAAGACAGAAGAAAGAGAAGAUUAGGCCCUGAUGAGUAUCUAUCAUCAUCAUUUCCAUCAUCAUCAACAGGCAUUAUCAACAUGAUUCGUUUGUUAGUUAAAAAAAUUGAUGUGAUCUAAAAAAAGGUAAAAAGAAAGAAAUGGAAACUCGAAAGUAAGAAAACAAGAUGAUGAUGAUGAUGAAGGAGAAGAAGAAGAAGAAGAAGAAGAAGAUGGAAGAAAAUUUUUAUACAAAUAUAAAUAUAAAAAUAAAAUAAGAAUAGCCUUUUAUCUUUAUAAUGGGAAACAGGUUUAAAAGGGAUUUUUAGGCUUUUACCUGGUUACAUCUUAACUGUAGCUACUAUUAUUAUCACUUAGUCACAUAUUAUUAUUAUUAUUAUUAUUGUUAACGUUAUUAUUAUGUACAAUAAUAAUAUAUACAUAAAUGAAGGAUAAAUAAAGAUAGUCUUGCCUCUUCAUCCUCCCUUCAGGCGGAGUUGAGGGACGAUGUGAUUGUGGGUGAGAUGAUAAUUUUCUAAUGAUGAUUAUCUUCAUCAUGUCAGAGGAGUUAACCAGAGUGAGAAAUGAGGGUAUCAGUGAGAGAGUGAGGGAAAAGAGAGAUAGAGAGAGAAACCCAAUUCUGGGUUCCCCGGUAAUCAACAGAACCCGAAACUGUAUUUCGGGCUCACUACACACAAUUGGCCUAAUUUUAGCGAAGAUACAUUCUUCGACAGUCUCUCUUCUCUCCUUAAGAUCAUUUGCCUUUAAGCCAUUUUUUUACAUCAUCAUUCUCAUCAUCAUGUUUCUCUCUCUUGACUUCUUUUCUUCUCCUUUACCUUUUUUUUCUUGCUGGUCGUUUUUUGCUAACAGUUUAGUAGCCCAGUUUAUUCAUUUACGAAGUUUUGGCCUCUUCAGGUUGAUGGCCUUCUUCACCAUCUCCACCUUUAAUUUUGGCAUCACCGUCGUUGUCGUUGUCGUCAUCGUCAUCAAAACAUUUUAAAUAAUCUUUUGGGCUUAACUCAUAUGAAUGGCGUUUAGCUUGCAAUAUGUAAAGCCCAAGAGUGUUUUGAGGUUUAUAUUUUUCAAGAUGGAGGUCAACUUGAUUCAAUUUGAGAUCCUGUUGUUUUUAUUUUAACUAAUGUUAAUCAACCAAUUACCAUAUUAACAAUUGUGUGAUUACAAUUAAAAGUAAACCUUUGAUUUGCCUAAAAACGAGGUAAAGACGGCAAAGGUAAUAAAGGACUUUUUCAACUCAA